GCACUGCUGAGGAGUCCCACAAUAGGACGAAGCAGCCGCCCAGUGU
rnacentral:hammerhead_ribozyme from 1 species